rnacentral:rRNA from 1 species
GGUUAAGUUAGUAAGGGCGCACGGUGGAUGCCUUGGCACUAGGAGCCGAAGAAGGACGUGACAAACGACGAAAUGCCUUGGGGAGCUGUAAGUAAGCGUUGAUCCAGGGAUGUCCGAAUGGGGGAACCCAGCAGGUUGAUGCCUGUUACCCAUUUCUGUUAAGGGAAUGAGGAGGAAGACGCAGUGAACUGAAACAUCUAAGUAGC